ensembl:lncRNA
CUGAUAAAUAGAAAUUAUUAUAUGAUAUUAUAAACAUUAAAAUACAUAUGAGAAAUAUAGAAGUUAAGUAUAUACAUAUUAGGAUAAAAUAUUUUCAAACAAAUUAAAAUUUUAAAAUAUCCUCUAAGUGAAAAUGAAAGUUGCUGUCUUGUCUGACUCUUUGAAACCCCAUGGACUAUAGCCCAUGGAAUUCUCCAGGCCAGGAUAGUGGAGUGGGUAGCCUUUCCUUUCUCCAGGGGAUCUUCCCAACCCAGGGAUCGAAACCAGGUCUCCCGCAUUGCGGGCGGAUUCUUUACCAGCUGAGCCACAGGGAAGCCCAUACAUUUUACAAAGUUACAUACAAAUAUAUUUUAAAAACAUUAAAAUAAUUGUCUGUAGCUCAGAGAAAAAUGCUAUUCAUGAUGGGAAUACAUGGGAAACAUAAAUGAACAAGUUAAAAAUGGAGAAAUCCAAAGAUGAGAGUGUUCUGGGGUAAGGAAUCGGAGUAGCUUUUCAUUUGUACUUUUUAAAAAGAAAAAGAAAAUAAAACUCAAAUGAACAAACCAAAGAGAAUAUAAAUUAAGGGAAUUUGGUCACAUUACAAUUCUCAUUAGGCUGAAGGCAAGCUAACUUUUUUUCAUGAUUUUGUCAACUCAUUUCAUAUUUGGUUCCAGAGUUUGGUUGUCUUAACUGAAACAUGUUCCUGCUAUUUUGAAUAUGGUAGGUAAAGAUAUGGGGCUUAAAUUAUACUUUAGUUUUUUAAGUGACUAGUUCCUCCCAAUCAUUAUGAGCAAUAGCUUCUUUUCCAAAUUGCUCUUGGAUAUGAUUUUAAAACAAUUUUUCCAAGCAGCAGUCUAAGUCACUGAGCAUACUAUCCAAUAGAGUUUAAUUAUAUUUAUUCAGAAGGAAGUUUGAUCGUAAUUUUCUUUGACCUCUCAUUUUCAUGACACAGCUGGCACAGAGCAAAUACAAGUUGAGACUAGACUCAUUCUUCAGUAUUUAUUAAGCUGUAGCCAAACCAGUCUUGCUCUCCCUGAUUAUCACUGCAGUGUCAGGACCAUAGCCCCGAGUUGUUUAGCGUGGGUUGUAUAUUGUUUGAAUGUGCACAGCCAAGAGAGUAGCGAAGACUGAAAUCCAACCUGCAUCCUGCUCACCUGGUUGAGUGCACACAGGCUCAUCCUCUCAGAGUGGAAAUCCCUUCUCUAGUUCAUCAAAAGGAGCCAUAUGAGCAGCAUCUGUAUAAGCGCCUUCUGUCACCCCAUCUCUUUGUACCUUUGUUUCUUCCCACCAUUGUUUAGCUCCUGACUGGGGAAAGGAAAGAACAUCGAAAAUGCUUUUCUUCUCCAUGGAGGAUGGAGAUAUUUCUCUUCAUCCAAAAUGAAAUGAGUGGAGCUUGGAAUGGCUACAUCACUCCCAGCCUGGCAAACCAUUCAAUAUCACAGUAAUCCAAGUCUAUGCCCCAAGCACUAAUGAUGAAGAAUGUGCCGUUGAACGGUUCUAUGAAGACCUACAAUCCUUCUGGCACUAACACCAAAAAAAGAUGUCCUUUUCAUCAUUGGAGAUUGAAAUGCAAAACUAGGAAGUCAAGAGAUACCUGGGAGAGUAACAGGUAAGUUUGGCCUUGGGAGUACGAAAUGAAGCAGGGCAAAGGCUAGCAGAGUUUUGAUGAGAGAAUGCACUGGUCAUAGCAAACACCUUCUUCCAACAACACAAGAGAUGACUCUACACAUGGACAUCACCAGAUGGUCAGUAUUGAAAUCAGAUUGAUUAUAUUUUUGCAGCCAAAUUUGGAGACACUGUAUACAGUCAACAAACAAGACUUGGAGCUGAUUGUGGCUCAGAUCAUGAGCUUCUUAUUGCAAAAUUUAGGCUUAAAUUGAAGAAAGUAGGGAAAACUACUAUACCACUCAUGUAUGACCUAACUAAAAUCUCUUACAAUUACACAGUGGAGGUGACAAAUAGAUUCAAGAGAUUACAUCUGAUAGAUAGAAUGCCUAAAGAACUAUGGACAGAGGUUUGUAACUUGUACAGAAGGCAGUGACCAAAACAAUCCCAAAGAAAAAGAUAUGCAAGAAGGCAAAAUGGUUGUCUGAGGAGGCCUUACAAAUAGCUGAGAAAAGAAGAGAAGUGAAAGGCAAAGGAGAAAGGGAAAGAUAUGUCCAACUGAAUGCAGGGUUCUAGAGAAUUGCAAGGAGGGAUAAGAAAGCCGUCUUAAGUAAGCAAUGCGAAUAAAUACAGGUCCUUAAUAGUCAUCUAUUUUAUGUAUAGUAGUGCUGGACUUCCCAGAUGGCCCAGUGGCAAAAACCCACCUGCUAUGCAGGAGACGCAAGAGAUAUGGGUUUGAUCCUUGGAUAAGGAAGAUCCCCUUGGGUAGGAAAUGGCGACACACUCAAGAAUUCUUACCUGGAAAAUUCCAUGGAUAGAGGAGCCUAGCAGGCUAUAACCCAUGGUGUCAAAAAGAGUCAGACACUGCUAAGCAGGCACAUCACACAUGCAGGUGGUAUGUCAAUCCCAAGCUCCCAAUUGAUCCCUCCAUUUUCCCCCCCAGUUAUAUACUUUAAAUAUAUUAUGACUUUUUUGUCAAUUAUACUUCAACAAACCUGGAAAGAACACAAGAAAGUUGCUCAGUAAAGUAAAAAAAAAAUUUACACUAUAUAAUAUAUGGCUGCAUAUGAAUCUCUAGGAGUAUUAAACAUGAUAUACUAGUAUCAAUAUUUACUUUCAUUGUUGAGAGCCGGGAAACAUAUGAAAAGAAAAGAAUGGAAGGAGAGUUUCUUAGGUUAGAAGGGUGAACUUUAGAAUCCCACACAUGGCUGACACUCCCAGAUCCAUAAGUGGCAUGCACUUGAUGAAGAAAAGUUUGUGUUAUCCAGAACCAACACUCAAUUAAUGGCAAGAAAUGCAACAUUUUUAAAUGGGGCUCAUUUGAGUGGAAAGAAAGAAGCCCAAAUUGUAAUGAGCCUCCAAGGCAUUUUAUAAAAUUCUCAUUAGAAAAUAACACAGCCAACAGACUGUACAGGUACCAAAUCUAAGAACAAAUAACAUGAAUGAGAUGCUAAAUACUUUUUUUUGUUGUUGUUUAAAAGCAUAAAUUCAAUUGGUCAUAUUCCAAAUUAAGUGUAAGACUAACAAAAUAUUACCAUAGUAGAAAACACUAUUAGAAAUUAAGCAAAUGAAUAAGCAUCCCCCCUCUGGUGAAUAUUUAUAGUAAUUAUUGAAAAUUUUUGCAAGCAUGUGGUAUUUUAACAAACCUUAGCAUUAUACAAUGUGCAAUUGUAAGUGAGCAAGCUCUGAGAAUUGGACGGUGCUCUGGCCUUGCUCCUAAUGAGAGGUAAAUAAAUAAUGUACAACAUCAAUUUGGCACACAGAUGGUGUAAGGAAUCAGCAGCACAAACAGCCAGCUCUUCUAGGUUGGAACAGGUGACUCCAUGUGAAGCAAGUUUCUGGAUACUAAUGAGAGAUUAGGCUGUCUAACAACUUCAUGAGGGGUAGACACUUUAGAGGAGACAUCACUGGCCUGCUUGAGAAAAAAAUCAGUAUUUGUUUAACAUCAUUAAAAUCAGCUUGGAACCAAAAAAGUUUUCGAAUGCACUGAAACUUGUUUGAUAUCAUCUAAAAACUAACUCUUAUAUUUAUCCAAAACCAUUCAUCAUCUUAUCCAGCCAGCCAGCCAGCCAUUCACUGGGCAUUUAAAGCAGGGAUCCCCAGCCUCCGGGAUCAAAUGUCUAAUCAUCUGAGAUGGAGCUGAUGUAAUAAUGAUAGAAAUAAAGUGCACAGUAAAUGUAUCAUGCUUGAAUUAUUCCAAAAUCAUUCCCGCACCCCAGUCCAUGGAAAAUUUGUCUUCCAUGAAACAGGUCCUUGGUGCCAAAAAGGUUGGGUCCUGGAGCUUUUCUGCCUGGUUUCUGAAUCCUGAGCCUCAGCUUAAUAACAAUAUAACCUUGGAUACAUUAUUUCACCUUCCUAAGCUUCCUUAGUUUCCUCAUGUAUAAAAUGGAUCCCUCAUAGAUUCCCCAUCAUGAAUUAGAGUUAAAAUUUAAAAUUUCUGGCACUGGGUCAGGAACAUAGUAAGUGCCUGGGUUUUGUUAGAAGUUUUUAUCUCAUUCAAAUUUGAAUCACAUGUCUGCUGCUGCUGCUACGUCGUUUCAGUCAUGUCCGACUCUGUGCAGCCCCAUAGAUGGCAGCCCAUCAGGCUCACCUGUCCCUGGGAUUCUCCAGGCAAGAACACUGGAGUGAGUUGCCAUUUCCUUCUCCAAUGCAUGAAAGUGAAAAGUGAAAGUGAAGUCGCUUAGUCAUGUCUGACUCUUAGUGACCCCAUGGACUACAGCCUACCAGGCUCCUCCAUCCAUGAGAUUUUCUAGGCAAGAGUACUGAAGCGGCUUGCCAUUGCCUUCUCCGGCAUGCCUGCUAGCCACUUGUAUUUAAAAACUGUACCCGAUAAUCUUUCAUCUGUUAUGCUCUCUUCCUUAGUUAUCCUCCAUAUUAAACAAGAGGAAAUCACCCAUGCAUUGAAUAGCACUCAUCUCCAGAGAGCAGGAUGAUUCUACAAGGCAGGAUGGUUCUACAAAACGCAGCCCACAGUUUGAAUCAGAUUUUAUUGUCUUUACUCAGAAAAGCCUUUACACUACUUCCCUUACCUCUAUGACAUAUACAUACUAUAGCUAUCUCUCUUCUCUGAGAUGUACUGUCUCAAGCGAACUAAACCUAGUAUCAUACUAAUUUAAUUAAUAAAAAUAAAAUACUGUUAGUUUGAAGUAAUUAGGGAGAUAAUUAAGAAUGUUGAAAGUUGAAAUUACAGGUGGGUUUUAGGGGAAAUCAAAUUGUUUUUAACCCAGUUAGGUAGUGUUAGUGUUACUUGCUUAGUCGUGUCUGACUCUUUGUGACUCUCAUGUACUGUAGCCCACCAGGCUCCUCUGUCCAUGAAAUUCUCCAGGCAAGAAUACUGGAAUGGGUUGCCAUUUCCUCCUCCAGGGGAUCUUCCCGACCCAGGGAUCGAACCCAGGUCUCCUGCAUUACAGGCAGUUUCUUUACCAUCUGAGUCACCAGUCUGUUUUAACUCAGUACCAUAGGCAAAUGCAACAUUAUGUUACUAUGGGAAGAUUCUUGAAUGCAGCUUCUUUAAACAGAUUAAUAUUGACUUUUUAAAAGCAUAUCAAGUCUAUGUAAAUGAAUAUUGAUAAAAUAUUUGAAAAAUAUUUGUAUUGUCCCCAAAACCUUACACAGAUUGAGAAUAGGGCACAGAAAAAAACCUCUGUUAGAGUUUUGGAAAAAGUACAGAAAAUGACUCAAUAUAGCUGAGACGUCUCUUGUUGUUAUUCUACCAAAAUACAAAAUGAAGAUUCAUAAGAAGAGAAAAUGUGGGAAAUGGACCAUAAAUAAAAAAUGAAAAAGGUCAUUUAUCAAGUUCCAAUCAAAGGUUUUAUGCUGAGAUAUACAUAUUUGAAUGUACAACUUAGGUUUAGCAAGACAAGCCCCCCCCAGUAAGGAGGAGGAGAGGAGGAAAGGAGAGAGAAAGACACAGGGAAACAAAGAAAGUGAAGGGCAGAGGAAAGGAGGGAGGGUAACAACAACCUUUCAAUGAUUCAGCAUCAAAACCUAAGAAUCUUGGAGCUAGGCCUGAAUGGGACAGAGAGAUAAGUAAUGUUCACUUUUUCAGCAUAUAUAUAUAACAUAUAUAGAGUUUAUUAUAUUCUUAGUACUGUUGUAACAUGAGAAAUAAAACCCUAAAUGACACAGGCGAUUGCACUUUAUUUGACAUAGAGUUACACUUUGAGGUGGACAGCUAAUGCACAAAUAUUUAAUAAUUUAGUUUCAAGUAACUAAAAAACUAAGAUCAUGGCAUCUGGUCCCAUCACUUUAUGGCAAAUUGAUAGGGAAAAUGUGGAAACAAUGACAGAUUUUAUUUUCUUGAGCUCCAAAAUCACUGCGGAUGGUGACUACAGCCACAAAAUUAACAGAUGCUCGCUCCUUGGAAGAAAAGCUAUGACUAGUCUAGACAGCGUAUUAAAAAGCAGAAACAUCAGUUUGCCAACAAAGAUCUGUAUAGUCAAAGUUAUGGUUUUACCAUUAGUCAUGUACAGAUGUGAAAGCUAGACCAUUAAGAAAGCUGAGCACUGAAGAAUAGAUGCUUUCAAGUUGUGGUGUUGGAGAAGACUCUUGAGAGUCCCUUGGACAGCAAGCAGAUCAAACCAGUCAAUCUGUAAGGAAAUCAACCAUGAAUAUUCACAGGAAGGAGUGAUGCUGAAGUUGAAACUCUAAUACUUUGGCCACCUGAUGUGAAGAACUGACUCAUUGGGAAAGAACCUGUUGCUGAGAAAGAUUGAAGGCAGGGGGAGAAGCUGGCAAUAGAGAAUCACCAACUCAAUGGACAUGAGUUUGAGCAAACUCAAGGAGAUGGCAAAGGACACAGAAGUCUGGCACACUGCAGUCCAUGGGGUCACAAAGAGUCAAACAAAACUUAGUGACUGAAGAACAACAAUGAAUGCCAUGGAAAGAAUGAAACAGGGUGGUAUGUUAUAUGGGACUGGUGUGGCCUCAGAAAUGCUGUCAGAGGUCAAACUUUUGAACUGGGGCUAAGUCACAGUUCAGUUCAAUUCAGUCGCUCAUUCGUGUCCAACUCUUUGCGAUCCCAUGAAUUGCAACAUGCUAGGCCUCCCUGUCCAUCAUCAACUCCUAGAGUUUACCCAAACUUAUGUCCGUCGAGUUGGUGAUGCCAUCCAGCCAUCUCAUCCUCUGUCACCCCCUUCUAAUCCUGCCCCCAGUCCCUCCCAGCAUCAGGGUCUUUUCCAAUGAGUCAGCUCUUCACAUGAGGUGGCCAAAGGAUUGGAGUUUCAGCUUUAGCAUCAGUCCUUCCAAUGAACACCCAGGGCUAGGUCACAGUUCAGUUCAGUUCAGUUCAGUCGCUCAGUCAUGUCCAACUCCCUGCGAUCCCAUGAAUCGCAGCACGCCAGGCCUCCCUGUCCAUCACCAACUCCCGGAGUUCACUCAGACUCAAGUCCAUCGAGUCGGUGAUGCCAUCCAGCCAUCUCAUCCUCUGUCAUCCCCUUCUCCUCCUGACCCCAAUCCCUCGCAGCAUCAGAGUCUUUUCCAAUGAGUCAGCUAUUCACAUGAGGUGGCCAAAGUACUGGAGUUUCAGCUUUUUAGUAUCACUCCUUCCAAAGAAAUCCCAGGGCUGAUCUCCUUCAGAAUGGACUGGUUGGAUCUCCUUGCAGUCCGAGGGACUCUCAAGAGUCUUCUCCAAUACCACAGUUCAAAAGCAUCAAUUCUUCGGCGCUCAGCCUUCUUCACAGUCCAACUCUCACAUCCAUACACAACCACUGGAAAAACCAUAGCCUUGACUUGACGGACCUUAGUUGGGAAAGUAAUGUCUCUGCUUUUUAAUAUACUAUCUAGGUUGGUCAUAACUUUUCUUCCAAGGAGUAAGCGUCUUUUAAUUCAUGGCUGUAAUCACCAUCUGCAGUGAUUUUGGAGCCCCCCAAAAAUAAAAUCUGACACUGUUUCCGCUUCUAUUUGCCAUGAAGUGAUGGGACCAGAUGCCAUAAUCUUGGUUCUGAAUGUUGAGCUUUAAGCCAACUUUUUCACUCUCCUCUUUCACUUUCAUCAAGAGGCUUUUUAGCUCCUCUUCACUUUUUUGCCAUAAGGGUGGUGUCAUCUGCAUAUCUGAGGUUAUUGAUAUUUCUCCUGGCAAUCUUGAUUCCAGCUUGUGCUUCUUCCAGUCCAGCAUUUCUCAUGAUGUACUCUGCAUAUAAGUUAAAUAAGCAGGGUGACAAUAUACAGCCUUGAUGUACUCCUUUUCCUAUUUGGAACCAGUCUGUUGUUCCAUGUCCAGUUCUACCUGCUGCAUCCUGACCUGAAUACAGAUUUCUCAAGAGGCAGGUCAGGUGGUCUGGUAUUCCCAUCUCUUUCAGAAUUUUCCACAGUUGAUUGUGAUCCACACAGUCAAAGGCUUUGGCAUAGUCAAUAAAGCAGAAAUAGAUGAUUUUCUGGAACUCUCUUGCUUUUUCAUGAUCCAGCGGAUGUUGGCAAUUUGAUCUCUGGUUCCUCUGCCUUUUCUAAAACGAGGUUGAACAUCAGGAAGUUCACGGUUCACAUAUUGUUGAAGCCUGGCUUGGAGAAUUUUGAACAUUAUUUUAGUAGCGUGUGAGAUGAGUGCAAUUGUGUGGUAGUUUGAGCAUUCUUUGGCAUUGCCUUUCUUUGGGAUUGGAAUGAAAACUGACCUUUUCCAGUCCUGUGGCCACUGCUGAGUUUUUCAAAUUUGCUGGCAUAUUGAGUGCUGCACUUUGACAGCAUCAUCUUUCAGGAUUUGAAAUAGCUCCACUGGAAUUCCAUCACCUCCACUAGCUUUGUUCAUAGUGAUGCUUCUCAAAGCCCAUUUGAGUUCACAUUCCAGGAUGUCUGGCUGUAGGUGAGUGAUCACACCAUCGUGAUUAUCUGGGUUGUGAAGAUCUUUUCUGUACAGUUCUUCUGUGUAUUCUUGCCACCUCUUCUUAAUAUCUUCUGCUUCUGUUAGGUCCAUACCAUUUCUGUCCAUUAUCGAGCCCAUCUUUGCAUGAAAUGUUCCCUUGGUAUCUCUAAUUUUCUUGAAGAGAUCUCGUCUUUCCCAUUCUGUUCUUUUCCUCUAUUUCUUUGCAUUGGUCACUGAAGAAGGCUUUCUUAUCUCUUCUUGCUAUUCUUUGGGACUCUGCAUUCAGAUGCUUAUAUCUUUCCUUUCUCCUUUUUUUUUUUUUUUUCGCCUCUCUUCUUUUUAUAGCUGUUAGGUCACAAGCUGGGUUAAAUCUGGAGAUGGCAGGAAUGACAGGCUGGAGGAGCCAAGGCAGGAACAGAUAAGUGGAAGGAAACUGAGUGAGAUAAUGUGGGGAGGCAGGCAGGAAUCAGGUCAUUUAGAGCUUUAUGAGAGGUUGAAUUUUAUUUAAGUAAGAUAAGAAAUAAUUGGAGGUCUUUAAGUCUCCCAUUUUCUCAUUUACCUUAUUUUCAAUUGUUCAUGUAACAUUUGUUUUUUAAUGAUCAUAUAUUAGGCCAAAUAGCCCUAUUAGGUUCCAAAUAACACAAAUUGUACAGGCCUCAUUCUCUUCUCAUAGUGAUGUAAAAAUAGCAAUUAAUAAUAAUAGUAAACUAUUACCUGGAAAGUUAAAAAAAAUACACUUCUAUUAUGAAACCAUUAGAUCAUGAGGAUGUCAAACUAUAAUUUUAGGCUGUUUAGAAAAUAAUGAAAAUUAAAAUAUGUUUUCAUUUCUAGUAUCUUGACUUGGUACCUUGAACAUCUCUCCUAUUAAAAACAAUGAAAACUCCUGUAUAAAAUUUGUGGUAGAAAGUGGCUAGCUGUUGACUACAUGCCUCCUUUCUUUAAUUACACAGCUAACUUACAUUUCCCAACCACCCUUGCAUCCAGGUGAAAUGCUAUGUGGUUCUUGCCUAUGGAAUGUGGAAGUGAUAUAUCACACCCAGUCCAAAGCAGUCGGUGCACCCUCUUCAAAUUCUCCUCCCAACCACCCCCUCCAAACGCACUUCUACUAUCUGAAGUAAGUCAGGGUGUCCAUGAAGACACAUGUUGAAAUGGAAGAGCCAUAGCCGAGAAGGACCCUGGGUUACUGAACUGUUGAUCUACGUUAGGCCAAUAUAAGUGAGACAUAAAACCCUGUUGUAUUCAGCUAUGUACGGAGAAUUGGGGGGUGCUUAUUUCAGCACCUGCUACUGCUCGUGCUGUAUUAACAGAAAUUAAGAUCUCUAUAUAGGACAUUGGCCUAAUGAGCAUUCAGUGAACAGGAAAGAAACUGACAUCAGAGGCUAUAAAGGUAAAGUCCAUGUGCUACAGUGGCAAAACAUUUUUAAAACAGGCUCUGGCACCUAGGAAGUAGAUUACAUGCUUACUGAAUUGAAAGCUCCAGGAGAAGGGGUUGAAAUUAAUCAACUUUGGAGUAUGUUGGCCACUAUUGUUUCUUUUUGGAAAAGUAUUCCAAGAUAGACAUUAACUCAGGAAAUAAAUGAUUGAUUGGAAAGGGAAAAUAAAAGACACUAGAGAAAGUGCAAAAAUUGAAGACCUUUAGAUUUUGAAGAGAACCUACUAUUUAUAAACCACAGAGAUAGGCAACAAUAUUGAGGGAAUCUUUGUAGAACAAAUAAUUAAGGCCCAGUCUUAUAGCACAUAUCAAAUGAAGGGUAUGGCCUGAGAAUGUAGCCAGCACUGAGAGAAUCAAGAGAAUGAGAAAGCAAAGAAAGACAGCUUAUCUGUGAAUUUAAGAAAGAACUUUCAAUUUACGUGUUGGUACAAAGGUCCCUCUAGUCAAAUUUAUGGUUUUAUGGUUUUAUUUAUAUGACCAAUAGUCAUAUACAGAUGUGAAGGUUGGUCCAUGAAGAAGGCUGAGAACUGAAGAACUGAUGCAUUUGAAUUGUAGUGCUAGAGAAGACUCUUGAGAGUCCCUUGGACAUCAAGGAGAUCAAACCAUUCAAUCCUAAAGGAAAUCAUCCCUGAAUAUUCAUUGGAAGGAUGGAUGCUGAGGCUGAAGCUCCAAUACUUUGGCCACCUGAUGUGAAGGGCCAACUCACUGGAGAAGACCCUGAUGCUGGAAAAGAUUGAGGGCAAGAAGAGAAGGGUGUGGGAGGGGAUGAGAUGGCUAGAGAGCAUCAUCCACUCAAUUGACAUGAAUCUGAGCAAAAUCCAGGAGAUAGAGGAGGACAGAAAACUCUGAUGUGCUAUAGUUCAUGGGGGUCACAAAGAGUUGGACCUGGCUAAGCAACUGAACAACAAGAAGCUGAUUGGAAAGACAUAGACUAGAAGCCAGCGAAAUGCUAGAGGGCUUUAAUUGCCAAAAAGUCAAUAAACUCAGAUGAAAAAUUAUUUGACCAGCUUUAAAAGAAGCUUUAGACCACCUUAUCUUCAUGAAUAAGAAACAGAUAUUAUAAAGCAAUACUGUCUCAAAAGGAGACCUGCUCUCCUAAAGUCACAUCAAUAUGAUCAUGAAAAAUAAUCAGGAAACAAUUACAUGAUGAUGAAGCCAUAAAGAAAAUAUUGGCAGAGGUGCCCAUCCCAGAGUAGAGAAAGUGAAAGUGAAGUCACUUAGUCGUGUCCGACUUUUUGCGACCCCAUGGACUGUAGCCUACUAGGCUCCUCUGUCCAUGGGAUUUUCCAGGCAAUACUACUGGAGUGGAUUGCCGUUUCCUUCUCCAGGGGAUCUUCCCAACCCAGGGAUCAAACCCAGGUCUCCCGCAUUGUAGACAGAUGCUUUACCAUCUGAGCCAUCAGGGAAGUCCUCCAGAGAACUUAAAGGAGGAAUGUCUCCCAUUUCUAGGCCUUCAGGCUAUCUUCCCAGUAGCAUUUUAGAAUUACUAGACAAGUCAAUUUUUUGGUCUCACAUUCUUACCUUUUUCAAAAAGAGUCAUCUUCUGUGGUUAUGUUGACUAUACACCACACUGCCUUUUGAGUAUAGAGGGAGCAGCUGACUUGUAUUUUUAGUUGGUCACUAGAAACUGAGAAGCCAGGAAUGAACUUGACAGGAUUGACUACACAUCUCUGAGAGACCUUGAACCUUGACUUGGAUACAAUGAUGGGUUGGGGCAUUAGUAGGGGUUAUAGGAUGAAGAUGGCCAUAAAUUCUUUGCUACUCCUGGUAUGAAGAGGUAGAAUUUAUCCAUCUGCCCUGAAUUUUGGCUGAUUUAAUGAUGUUCUCAACCAGUAGAAUCUGGCAGAAGUGAUACUCUUAGACCUCUGACGCCAGGCCAUAAAUGUCUGCUGAGACCUCUUAUAACACUCACAUCUAGAGCCCUGAGCUUCCUUAUACGUCUGCCUACUCUGAGACCACCUCGCUAUGAGAAGUCCAAGCCUCCUGCAGAGACCAUGUUGAGAGGCUCUAAGACUAAUGGAAGCGGAGAGGGAUCAGGCCAAACAGACUUCCAGAGAUCGGAAGGCAUCAGCACAUUAAUCAAGUUCUCUGACCAAGACAUCUGCUGAUCUGAGUGAUCCCAGGGGAAGCCAUCAGAAGCACAAAACUGCCUGUGAGCCCCUUCUGAAUUUCUGACUCACAAAGUUGUGAAAUGUAAAAAAUUGAUUAUUGAGAAAGUAAUAAUUACUACUGAUCAAAAAUCAGUAAUUAAAAAAGAAACUAGCAAAACCCUGAAGUUUUGAAAAUAAAAAGAGCUAAUUUCUAAAUAAUGAAUGUCAAAAAGAAACAAUAAAAUGAAUUAGAUAACUUAGACUGAACAAUAACAGAAAUUUUGUACCUACAACAUAUCUUGAGAUGAAACUAUAGUAGUUCUCAGAGGGAAACUUAUAGGCUUAAACACUUAAAUCUAUAUUUUGAAAAAGAGGAUAGGUUUAAAUUAAUAUACCAAACACUAGAUUUAUAAAGUUAGAAAAUGAAUAAAAUGAACUAAAAUAAAGUAGAUGAAAAGAAGUAAUAAUAUUAAUAGAAAUUAAUUUUAGAAAAACUUAGGGAAGAUCAAAAAAAAGACAAAUGUUUGUCAAAUUGUUGGUUUUGUCUCUGCAGGGGACUGCUCUAUUGCAAGACUGAGCAAUCAGGGAAAAAAGGGCACAAAGUUGAUAUUAAAAAUGACAAAUAGACAUACCUAAAAAUACUUGAAUGGAAUGUCAGCUUGUUUUGAAAACAAUUUUACUCCAAUAAAUUUGAAAACAUAGAAAAUCAGAAAGUUACUAGAAAAGUAUACCUUACAUAACAAAACUGACCCAAGAAGUGAUUAAAGAUAAAAGCAUCUUACGAUAGGAAUAUAAAUUGGAGUACUUUAGAAAGCAUAUUUUUAGAAAGACAUACUUUAGAAGGGUGAGGUUGCCCACGUCUCCCAUUUUCUUUAGGACAGUUCCAAGUUACAACUGCUGUGUAUGCCUAAUCAAGAUGAGCACUCCCUUUCUAAUGUCAAGUGAUUCCAGAAUUCAAGUCUGAUGGCUUUCCUACAGCCUCACAAUUCUGCUCUCAGGUAUUCACCCUGAACAUAAUUCUUGACUGGUAAAAAGGAAACGUGUAGGGGAAUAUCAUAGCAACAUCAUAGGUAGGAGAGAAAAAGAAGAGCACUGGUACCAGAUGAACUCUUCCUCUGAGGUAUUUUCUGUGGAAUAUGAUGGAAAACUGCACAACAGAGAGAAAGAAUGAUUUAGCGCUCCAUGAGUCAAUGUAGUUGAGCUUAAGGAAAACAGUGUUGUGAGGAGGGAAAAAGAAAUUCAUUGCAGAAUAAAUCAAGAUGAUUUCCUGUAUAUAAUGCCACUUGAGGAUACACACACAUGUAGUUAAAGAAAUCUUUAGGGAAUAUAACAGGGACAAAAACUUCAGGACAACAGUUAUCCCUAGGGUACUGGGAGAAUGAAGGUUGGGAUCAGUGAGAGAGCUUCCAAAGUGCCGAUUAGUUUUCUGUUUCUUCAAAUCUUGUUAUCCUUUGUAUCAUACGUGAGAAGCUUGCUGGUAAUAAUACUAGUUGGGGCUUCCCUGGUGACUCAGUAAAGAUUCUGCAAGCAAUGCAGGAGACCUGGGUUGGAUCCCUAGGUUGGGAAGACCCCUUGGAGAAUGGCAUGGCAACGCACUCCAGUAUUCUUGCCUGGAGAAUUCCAUAGAGCAGCCUGGGCUACAGUCCAUGGGAGGACAAAGAGCAGGACACAACUGAGCAGCUAACACACACACACACACACACACACACACACACACACCCCAUUUAUUGAGUGCUUAAUCUGAGCUAGGAAUUAGAGCAUUAUGACUCCUAGGCACAAGAACUUUAGUUUUCAUCACAACUCUGUGAAGGAACCAUUAUUUUCUCUUUUUAGAAAUAAAAACAACAACAACAAAAAAUCUGGUUCAUGCACAGGGAUGUUACUUAAAAUACAGGUUAAACUCUCAUAAAUGACAGUGCCAGGGUGUUUUAAAUACUAUGCUCUAAUGCUUCACAUAGCCUGGCUCUAUAGUUUUACAGUUUUUCUGCAAUAACUAGACAUAAUGCUUAUAUGCAAAACAAAAUAAGCAUUAUAAAACAAUUGUCAGCCUGGCUACAGAGCUUGAAUUAAUUUAGGCUAAGUUAAAGAUGUUUUAAAGUAUAACUGGAAGAACUUCGAAGCACAUUAACAACUUUACAGGGCAAUGCUAUUUACAUUGAGCUUUCAAUUUUAAAAGCAUGUUGCCAUAAGCCUUCAUAAAUGCCUAGUAAAGUAGGUUUAUAUCAUCAUUUGCAUUUUAUGGGUAUGGAACCAUGUCAUGUGACUGAGUCCUCCUCAUGGACACAGAUAUUUUAUCUGUUACUUCUAAGUCACAGUUAGUUACAUAAUAUGUUUCACACUGGUCCAGCAUAGUCUUUUAUCUCAAUAAUGAUUAUAAGGUAUAGUCUCUGGAUUAUGCUGCCCUGAAGACUUCACUCUUCCUCAAGGAACUGGUUAUGAAUCAAUGGUGCUCAGAGAAAAUUUAAAAGAAAAUUAAAGUAUUAGACUGUGUCUAGGAGAAGAUAGGAUCUCAAGGCACAUACACGUUUAUUAAAAUGAUGAUACUAUGUACAUCUAUUAUUUCCCACAGGCUGGACUUGGUUUAGAUGAUGAUUCAGUGUGCCUAUCUCCGCAAAAAUGUGAAGUUGGCAAAGUUCAUCUCUCCAAAUCUGUUCUCUUCCUUUUCAUUUAUUUUGUUGCUUUUGAUUUCAUAUUGUUCAAGAACCUGGAUCCCAUUCCUGCCUCAUUCUUUUUCUUAACUAACAGAUCUCUAGAUUAAUAACUGAUGAACCUGGUAUAUUACAAAGGAGGCUCCUGUAAAAAUCAUUAGGCAAGACUGGACUAAUCCAAGAUUGGACCGAUCCUUCAACUAACUCACUUAGAGACUUGAGCAUUUCAUCCAUGUUCUCUGAGCCUCAAUUUCUGUCUUAUAGAGGAUGAACUAAUGAGUUCAACAGAGGAGGUGCAGUCAAAAUCUAACAGUUUCGUUUCUAGAGCUACAAUGUGAAAUUAGAGAACUACUUUAGCGAUUAUGCCUUCUGGAAAUAUUUUCAGUUAUAAAGAAUAUAUACUUCAAAUCUCCUUGGUUUAUUCAGUCUCUUAUUAUCUCUUACAGAUGACUCUUAACACUCCAAAUUUUCCUUACUUUAGCCAUCCUCACCUCCAAUAUAUUCUAAGUGCUAUUGCCAAAAUGUGCUUACUAACUAGUGAUAUACCUACUCUCUUUCUUUCCUGAAUUUCUUCCUCUCAUCAGCUUGUUGGACUUUUGGUGAACAACAGAAGAGUAGUUUAUAUAAGUUAACCAAUUUGGCAAUGGAUACAUGUUGACUAUAAUAUCAAGAAUUUCCUGCUCAUGUUUAGUACAUUCAUUUGCAUUUUUAAAAUGAGUCCAAAUGGUAUUUCUUAUUCGUUUGUAAUGCACCAACCCCUUUCAAAAUACUCUAGUCCUUUCCCUAAGGUGGAGUUAACUGGACCACACUUUGCUCUCACCUCGGUCAGUGUUUUUGCUCUGUUUUGUUUCCCUCAUUAUAGUAUUAACGUGAGCAGAAAGCACUGUUGAUAAAACAAUAAGCAUGUGAGCCGUGGGACGGUUACCUCCUCUGAACCACUUGCUCUACUUGCUUCAACUUUGAACUCAUUUCACCCUUGAGGUCAUAAGGAUGUAAAUAUUUUGCAGUUUUCCCUUUCUUGUUUUUGACAAGGUCUUUCUGAUAUAACAUGUUCCUCUAAAUGUAUAUGUAGUUUCUACACUUAAGGUAUUUCUCUCUACACCGUGGAAUUCUCUUCUUUGAAAUACAACCCAACUUUAAUCUAUCAAGUCACUCAUUAAAUUUUAAUGGCUUCUCAUUGCUCUUAGAAUCAAAACCCAGACUUUCAUAAGCUGGCAUUAAAAACUUUUUACAAUCUGUCUCCAAUUUAGCUUCCAUUCUCAUCCCACUUUCCCUAUCUUCUUGCCAUCCAACAUCCUGAAUUCUAUUGAAUAAUUAAAGCUAGUCACCUCUUAUCACUCUCAUGAGAUAAUCUUACUAAUAAUAUCGAUCUUUCAGAAUUUUUUGGUGAUGAUUUAAGUAGUUUAAACAUGUAAGGGCCUAGAAAAUUUUAGACCACUUGUAAAUGAUUUAUCCACAAUACUUGAAAAAAGAAAAGAUACUUGCUACAAUGGGCAUUUAAAAAAUAUUUUAGAGCAGUGGUGGGAAUGGUCACCUUACCAAGGUCAGCUAUAUACAUUUGCUCUUUUCAGAACAGCUAGACAAAAUUAGAAUGUGGGGACAUGACAGGAAUUAAUAAUUAUAUCUAUAUGCUUAUGUUUAUUUAGAGUACCAUUGCUAGGAAUUGAGUAAAUAUUACGAUGAUAUGCACUGACAGUCAGAGAAAUUAUAUACUAAAGAGAGGAAUGACAUGCACAAACUAACUAUAAUUGAGGACACAAGGUAAUGGCUCUAAUAAAGAUAAUAAUAAUGAUAAUAAUUUUUAAUGUUGAUUGAAUUAUUCCUCUGUGUAAGUGUUGUCCGAAUAACUUUACAUAAAUAAACGCAUAAAUGUUCACCUAACCCCUCUCAGUUGGCAGAUAGUAUUGUUUUUCCUGCUUUACAGAUGAAAAAGUAGAUGAUGAAUAUGAAGAGUGAAGAAACACUUCAAACUCAGUUUGGGCUGCUUUGUAAUAGUAACUUCCUUCCAGAGAGCAAGAGUAUGGAAAGAGGAUAAACGUUACUUCAUAGGUGGACAAAUGCCUAUCUCAAGCAGGCAGUCAAACUCAGCAAAAGCAAUAUCAUGUUGAUAGUAUGUAUCCCUGAGUGUUGUAAUCAAAUAAUACUUGUGGUCUUUCAAAGAUUCUGUGAUCUCCCUCCAUAAAACCUAUAACCCAACUCUGUGAGAAAAAUGUCAGGAAAAUUUUGAUAAAGGAGAAUCUCACAUUUUUUUCUUACUGAUACUCUUCAAAACUAUCAAGGUCAUUUUCCCACUGCUGGGCAUACACACCAAGCAAACCAGAAUAGAAAGAGACACAUGUACCCCAAUGUUCAUCGCAGCAUUGUUUAUAAUAGCCAGGACAUGGAAGCAACCUAGAUGUCCAUCAGCAGAUGAAUGGAUAAGAAAGCUGUGGUACAUAUACACAAUGGAGUAUCACUCAGCCGUAAAAAAGAAUACAUUUGAAUCAGUUCUGAUGAGAUGGAUGAAACUGGAGCCGAUUAUACAGAGUGAAGUAAGCCAGAAAGAAAAAUACCAAUACAGUAUACUAACACAUAGAUAUGGAAUUUAGAAAGAUGGCAAUGAUGAUCCUGUAUGCAAGACAGCAAAAAAGACACAGAUGUGUAUAACGGACUUUUGAACUCAGAGGGAGAGGGAGAGGGUGGGAUGAUUUGGGAGAAUGGCAUUGAAACAUGUAUACUAUCAUGUAAGAAUAGAAUUGCCAGUCUAUGUCCAAUGCAGGAUACAGCAUGCUUGGGGC